rnacentral:rRNA from 1 species
CACCAUGGCGACGAUCGGUAGCCGGACUGAGAGGUUGAACGGCCACAUUGGGACUGAGACACGGCCCAGACUCCUACGGGAGGCAGCAGUGGGGAAUAUUGCACAAUGGGGGAAACCCUGAUGCAGCGACGCCGCGUGGAGGAAGAAGGUCUUCGGAUUGUAAACUCCUGUCCCAGGGGACGAUAAUGACGGUACCCUGGGAGGAAGCACCGGCUAACUAC